GGGGCGGUAGCUCAGCUGGGAGAGCACCUGCUUUGCAAGCAGGGGGUCGCCGGUUCGAUCCCGGUCCGCUCCA
rnacentral:tRNA from 2 species